UCGGACAAACAAAAUGAAAAGCGACAGAAAAUAUUAACUAGUAUGAAGGUCAACUUCAAAGGAAGGGGGGUUCUCAGGAGACGGCUUCUAGUGGCGGAUGUAUGUUCAGACCCCGGCCCUCAAGACUGUUUUCUUACCCUCCAGAUGAAGACAGGAAUGAGACCUACUGUGUCCAGUGCUAAGCAACCGGCACAGAGUUAGUGUGGAGAGGGCCCGGUCCUUUUUCUGCCCACAGGGGACAGAACAGAAGCAGGUCCCCGCCCCAGGGCCUCUGCGCUUGCUGGUUACCCCAUUCCAGCCUCAGCUGCACCACCCCUGUAGCCACCUGCCUCCUCUGGUCUGCCUGGAAGUGGAUUCCACGAACUUGUCCUGACCGCGUCAC